AAAUUGAUCUGUUUUUCUCUUCCACAAAAUUGGAAGAUUUUUUUUUCUUCCAUUUUUUAAAUGUUCUUACCAGUCAUCUUGCCUCGUGGCAUGUCUGUCUAACCUCUCCCUACCCCGUGAUGAAGUGCCAUUUCUGUUAAGUCUCCCUGACCCCCAACUCAGAGGUGCUCAGAGGUACAAGGUGCCCAAGUUUGUCAGUUGAGAUUAAAAGGAACAGAGAAUGUGCAAUACCGUCCAGCUGGGGCCUGUCCUUGCCCUGAGCUAGGUCCUCUCCCUGGGAGCCAGGCCACUUUGACUAGGGUUUGGAGGUAAGAUGUAUGGAAAUGGGGAGUGGUGGCAAGGAGAGCCUAUAGUUCAGUGCCUGUUUAGGUGCUGAGGCCAUAGGGAAGAGGGUAGGGUCUUCCCUGUUUUUAUCCCUUCAGGGUCAAUUACAUAGAAGCUGCUUAUAAUACUAGUAUAGCUCUGUGGCCCUUUGCUCAGUCACUGAGGUUUGAUUUCUCAUCCUCUUUCCCUAUCAUCAUACUCUUCCCAGGAAUUAGCAAGAGGGGUGAAAUCUUUCUUAAUCAUGGUAAAGUAUUAGCCUUCCAUCUCCUCCCUUAGGUUCUGCCCUGUCCCCCUUUCUUAAAGCCUCUACAUUUUACAUCACUGAUUGCCUUGUGUCCUUCCAAGACUUUUUUUUGUUUUUGUUUUUUGUUUUAAUUAACUCCCAUCCUCCAGCUGUGGGCCCUUGUAGACACUAGCCCUCACGCCCUAAGGAUAGGAGGAAAGACCCUGAGUUCAGUGUUCUUUACCACUGGACUCAAACUCUCAGCUAUCAGUAGAGUGGGGAUCAAACCAGUACAAUCUAGCUUCCUCUAGACCUUGAGGCACUACAAGCAGUCAUUCAUGGAUGGUGUCUUAUUCCACAGCAACCUGAAACGGGUGGAUUAGUGGCAAGGCUGGGGUAAAAUUAGGAGACAGAAGUCCUUAUUUGUCGGUUUUAUUUUGUCAGUAGACCACAACAUCUGAACUCCCUCCAUUGCUGAAUAAGUAUUUUUCCUGCAUUAUGAGAUAUAUGUAUGGUAGACAUUUCUUUUUAAAGACCCCGAGAUAAAUGUUUUCCUGCCUUGGUUACCUUUCCUUUCCCCUUUAAGAGGAAUUAGCUAUAGAACCGCUUUGUAAAGAUGCUUCUUGAUAUUUUACUUUUGUUCCUUUCCCCAACCAUUCCCACUUCCCCUUCUCUCCACAGCCCCGAUCCCACUCAUCCUAGGCUCCCUUCCUUUCCAUCAAGAUCUUCAUUAGCUUAUGACCGAGAUGUUAUAACAAGGACUCAUUCAUGUAUAUAAGCUAUUUCUUGAUCCAUUUAAAAGGAAUUGUACAUUGUGUAGAAAAAAAAAAAACAUG
rnacentral:lncRNA from 1 species